CAUGAGUUGUCUAGGACUCGUGUCUGCCUGCAGGACCCCSGGCCUGAUGUGCGGCCGACUGCUGGCGCCGAUGUCCCAUCAUUCUUGCGGUUCUAACCAUUCCGCUCAACCAACGAGUGCUUGCAUGCUGGUACCCAAACUACGGGAAGUUUUGCUUCAUACACGGUUGCCUCGCUGUGGAACCCCAAGGGUGUUCCGCUGCGGCCGAAUAGCUCGUGCGGUGUUGCCUCGUGGUGCCGGCGCCCUACGUGCCCGGCGCUUCAAAGGCGACCUCGCUCGCACUAUUGGUCUCGGAUGUUGCCAAUGAUAUAGGCUCGUGCCCCGUUGCGGUCACGUCCCUAACGAAAGCUCUCUCAAUCUACGACAGCCGGCCCGGUGAAUGCCGCCUCCAUGCACAAGCUGGAUGGUUCCGCUCUCCGUGUCGGCUCGUMCMUGAGGACGUGCU
rnacentral:misc_RNA from 1 species